AAGAAACAAGGAAAAGGGUGUGAGGAAGAGGAAGAGCUCACAGAGAAGUUGGGUUGCUUAGUUGCAUUUCACUUCUGGGAUUGUCUGGCUAAAUUCACAAGAGCAAGAAGAGUUCACAGAAUCAUGCAGGUGAACCUCAGAAACUUCAAGCAUGCCAUUCAGAUAAGCUUGGUCACGUGUGGAUCCUUAUCUGAAGAUUAUCAAGUCAUUGUCUGGAUGUAACUAUUUGCUAAAAUAUGGAAUAAAACUGCAAAAGAGAUAGAGAAAAGACAGAACAAAAUGUAAGCUCCCACUG
rnacentral:lncRNA from 1 species